rnacentral:tRNA from 1 species
GUUCUUAUAGUGUAUAUUUAGCACAUUAGAUUUUCAAUUUUUUAGGGCAUAUAAAUUAUGUUAAGAAUA